AACGAACGCUGGCGGCGUGCCUAACACAUGCAAGUCGAGCGUGAAAGUUCCUUCGGGAAUGAGUAAAGCGGCAGACGGGUGAGUAAUACAUAGGUAAUCUACCUUUGAGCUUGGGAUAACCCCGCGAAAGUGGGGCUAAUACCGGAUAAGACCACGCGACUUAAGUUACGUGGUAGAAGGUGGCUUGUAUUUAUACUGGCUAUCACUUGAGGAUGAGCCUAUGGCCUAUCAGCUUGUUGGUAAGGUAAAAGCUUACCAAGGCUAUGACGGGUAGCUGGUCUGAGAGGACGAUCAGCCACACUGGGACUGAGACACGGCCCAGACUCCUACGGGUGGCUG
rnacentral:rRNA from 1 species